UACGUAGGGUGCAAGCGUUGUCCGGAAUUAUUGGGCGUAAAGAGCUCGUAGGCGGUUUGUCGCGUCUGCUGUGAAAACUCGGGGCUUAACUCCGGGCCUGCAGUGGGUACGGGCAGACUAGAGUGAUGUAGGGGAGACUGGAAUUCCUGGUGUAGCGGUGAAAUGCGCAGAUAUCAGGAGGAACACCGAUGGCGAAGGCAGGUCUCUGGGCAUUAACUGACGCUGAGGAGCGAAAGCAUGGGGGGCGAACAGG
rnacentral:rRNA from 1 species